rnacentral:rRNA from 1 species
UGGGGGAUAUUGCACAAUGGGCGCAAGCCUGAUGCAGCGACGCCGCGUGGGGGAUGACGGCUUUCGGGUUGUAAACCUCUUUCGUCGGGGGACAAGGCUCUGCUUGGUGGUGGGGUUGAGGGUACCCGGUGAAGAAGCGCCGGCUAACUACGUGCCAGCAGCCGCGGUAAUACGUAGGGCGCGAGCGUUGUCCGGAAUUAUUGGGCGUAAAGGGCUCGUAGGCGGCUUGUCGCGUCUGCUGUGAAAAUGCGGGGCUUAACUCCGUACGUGCAGUGGGUACGGGCAGGCUAGAGUGCGGUAGGGGUGACUGGAAUUCCUGGUGUAGCGGUGGAAUGCGCAGAUAUCAGGAGGAACACCGAUGGCGAAGGCAGGUCACUGGGCUGUCACUGACGCUGAGGAGCGAAAGCGUGGGGAGCGAACAGGAUUAGAUACCCUGGUAGUCCAUGCUGUAAACGUUGGGAACUAGGUGUGGGGUUCUUUCCACGGAUUCUGCGCCGGAGCUAACGCAUUAAGUUCCCCGCCUGGGGAGUACGGCCGCAAGGCUA